CCUACGGGAGGCAGCAGUGAGGAAUAUUGGUCAAUGGACGCAAGUCUGAACCAGCCAUGCCGCGUGAAGGAAGACGGCUCUAUGAGUUGUAAACUGCUUUUGUACGAGGGUAAACGCAGAUACGCGUAUCUGUCUGAAAGUAUCGUACGAAUAAGGAUCGGCUAACUCCGUGCCAGCAGCCGCGGUAAUACGGAGGAUUCAAGCGUUAUCCGGAUUUAUUGGGUUUAAAGGGUGCGUAGGCGGGUGGAUAAGUUAGAUGUGAAAGCUCGAGGCUCAACUUUGGAAUUGCCUCUGAUACUGUUAGCCUUGAGAGUAGUAGAGGUAGGCGGAAUGUGUGGUGUAGCGGUGAAAUGCUUAGAGAUCAUAAAGAACACCGAUUGCGAAGGCAGCUUAC
rnacentral:rRNA from 1 species